rnacentral:rRNA from 1 species
GAUGAACGCUCGCGGGAGGCCUAACACAUGCAAGCCGAGCGGUAUUGUUUCUUCGGAAAUGCGAGAGCGGCGUACGGGUGCGUAACACGUGUGCAACCUGCCUUUAUCUGGGGGAUAGCCUUUCGAAAGGAAGAUUAAUACUCCAUAAUAUAUUGAACGGCAUCGUUUAAUAUUGAAAGCUCCGGCGGAUUGAGAUGGGCACGCGCAAGAUUAGCUAGUUGGUGAGGUAACGGCUCACCAAGGCGAUGAUCUUUAGGGGGCCUGAGAGGGUGAUCCCCCACACUGGUACUGAGACACGGACCAGACUCCUACGGGAGGCAGCAGUGAGGAAUAUUGGUCAAUGGGUGCAAGCCUGAACCAGCCAUCCCGCGUGAAGGACGACUGCCCUAUGGGUUGUAAACUUCUUUUGGAUAGGGAUAAACCUACCCUCGAGAGGGUAGCUGAAGGUACUAUACGAAUAAGCACCGGCUAACUCCGUG